CUUAGCUACGAAGUCUGCAACUUCUCUUUUCAUUCCAAACCACCAAUAAGUCGACUUCAAAUCUUUAUACAUUUUCGUACUCCCAGGGUGUAACACAUACGGUGCCCGAUGUGUUUCCUUUAAAAUCUCCUCUUUAAUACCAGAAUCUGCCGGUACACAAAGUCGAUCACCAAAUUUCAACAGUCCCUGAUCAUCUACUCGAAAAUCACUAACAUGAUCAACAGUGAUCUUUGCU
rnacentral:lncRNA from 1 species